AUUUUAGUUGCCAGCAUUUAGUUGGGCACUCUAAAGUGACUGCCGGUGCAAGCCGGAGGAAGGUGGGGAUGACGUCAAAUCAUCAUGCCCCUUAUGACCUGGGCUACACACGUGCUACAAUGGAUGGUACAAAGGGUCGCGAAGCCGCGAGGUGGAGCCAAUCCCAUAAAACCAUUCUCAGUUCGGAUUGUAGGCUGCAACUCGCCUACAUGAAGCCGGAAUCGCUAGUAAUCGUGGAUCAGCAUGCCACGGUGAAUACGUUCCCGGGCCUUGUACACACCGCCCGUCACACCACGAGAGUUUGUAACACCCGAAGUCGGUAGGGUAACCUUUAUGGAGCCAGCCGCCGAAGGUGGGACAGAUAAUUGGGGUGAAGUCGUAACAAGGUAGCCGUAUCGGAAGGUGCGGCUGGAUCACCUCCUUU
rnacentral:rRNA from 1 species